rnacentral:rRNA from 1 species
AACGAACGCUGGCGGCAGGCUUAACACAUGCAAGUCGAACGCAUCCUUCGGGGUGAGUGGCAGACGGGUGAGUAACGCGUGGGAACGUGCCCUUCAGUUCGGGAUAACCCAGGGAAACGUGGGCUAAUACCGGAUACGUGCGAGAGCAGAAAGAUUUAUCGCUGAAGGAUCGGCCCGCGUCUGAUUAGCUAGUUGGUGGGGUAAUGGCCCACCAAGGCGACGAUCAGUAGCUGGGCUGAGAGGAUGAUCAGCCACAUUGGGACUGAGACAUGGCCCAAACUCCUACGGGAGGCAGCAGUGGGGAAUAUUGGACAAUGGGCGCAAGCCUGAUCCAGCCAUGCCGCGUGAGUGAUGAAGGCCUUAGGGUUGUAAAGCUCUUUCGUCCGGGACGAUAAUGACGGUACCGGAAGAAGAAGCCCCGGCUAACUUCGUGCCAGCCGCCGCCGUAA